rnacentral:tRNA from 1 species
GGGGAUAUAGCUCAGUGGGAGAGAACCUGCCUAGCAUAUGUGAAGCCCUGGGUUCAAUCCCCAGUACCACCA